UGAGGAUGCCUUCAAAGGUAUAAAACUCAACAUCUAUGAUUGCGUCAGCAUGCAUAGCCACAUCAAGGAGUGGGGAGGAUGGGAGGAUGAAUUACGCAUGAACCAACACACUGUUUCAGCAAAAGAGUACUGCCAAUUACUGCACUCCAGUAUCAGCCAUCUAAAUUCUGUAGGCACCAGAAACCGGAGUGCAAGAAGGGACAUGAAAUUUGAUGGCUUGCGUCGAGGGGAGACCAUUGCUGCAUUACAGGUAGGAGGUGAUGCAUUGGAAGUCGUGUGUGUACAUCGUGUCUUGGUGUGAUGGAGGAGACGUUGGUGCUCUGCAGUUUUGUUUCAGGUUGGUUGUACCUCCUUUAAUACAAUCUAGGCGUUGGUGCUAUGUUUUUUUUGCUUCGGGGUUUGUUUGACGUGAUCUGCUCUCAUCUUUCUUUAAGGCUGUGGUUUUCAGUAUGCAUACUGCCUCCUGAGAAGAACUGCUUCCGAGUGUAGUCAGAAGAUUAGGAUUGAAAGUAAAUCUUAUGGCGUUUGGUUGUAUGGGACUGGUAUGUCGAGAUUGAUUAGUGUCUGUCAACUCUCAUCACGAUCGAUACACGGCCAAGCUGUCUGUUGUCAUCUCUUUUCUACAGUAGAAAUACAUCCAC